CGUAGGUAACCUGCCUGGUAGCGGGGGAUAACUAUUGGAAACGAUAGCUAAUACCGCAUAAUAGCAGUUAUUGCAUGAUAACUGUUUGAAAGGUGCAAUUGCAUCACUACCAGAUGGACCUGCGUUGUAUUAGCUAGUUGGUGGGGUAACGGCUCACCAAGGCGACGAUACAUAGCCGACCUGAGAGGGUGAUCGGCCACACUGGGACUGAGACACGGCCCAG
rnacentral:rRNA from 1 species